GGAACCACCUGGUCACCGUGUGAGUUUCUGUUGUGGGUCUCACACUGCAGAACACAACGCCUGGGAUUGCUGUGCGGCGUUGAGCACUUUUCCCCUUAAACCCGACCUCAUCCCAGUUCACAAGGAGGGGCAAAAGCUGAAAAAACACCCAGAGCCGCAGAGUUCCCAAGCCAUUGUUCUAACAGCCCAAAAGUCGAUAGGAUUGUGGUCUGUGUGCGGUCAGUAAGUGUGCUGACAGCAGAGCCGUGAGUGUGAGAAUAUGGCGCUUAUAAUCACAGUCAUUUCCACCCACAGAGACACGUAACCUCACAAGCACCUGUUCACCCCCACACCGGCCCUUCAUGUCUUCCUGUCAUUUUCUUUGGACCACAUCUGAUUCACAAAUUGCCAGGCUCAGCUCGAGUGUGGGACGAGCCAGACCACACAUAGGGCAUAGGACCUGGAGGAGAGGGCCAAGGUUCUCAAAGAUGUCCACGCAAAAAUGUACAUUUUGGUCCCCAAGGUAACCUCCGCUGCAGGCCUCCGUAUUGUGUCUCUGCCAGAAGUUUCUGUUCAUGUACAUCUGAGUGAUUUCAGCAGAAAGUGAAGAUAAACCCAGCGGUGGUGGGCAAAGAAAAUGUCUGUCGGAAGGGUGGUUAAUUUUACGUGUCGACCUGACUGGGCUGGGGGAGGCACCAGACAGCUAGUAAAACGUUCUUUCUGGGUGUGGCAGUGAGGGGGUCUGUGGAAGAGAUUAGCAUUUGAAUCAGUACACUGAGUAAAGCAGAUGGCCCUCACUAACGUGGGUGGGCAUCCUCCAAUCCAUUGAAGGCCUAAAGAGAACAAAAAGGUGAAGGAAGGGUGAAUUUGCUCUCCCUGCUUGAGUUGAGACAUCCAUCUUCUUGGACAUUAUUGCUCCUGGUUCUUGGGCUUUCAAACUCAGACCAUGGCUUAGCCCCUCCCCCCGCACCACAUGCAUAAUUCUGAGGCCUUUAGACUCAGACUGGGUUACACUAUUCACCAGCUUUCCUGGUUCUCUAGCUUGUGGACAAGCAGGUCAUGGGACUCCUCGGCUUCCAUACCCUCCUGAGCCAAUUCGUAUGUAGGACAUUUAUAUACAUAUCUCCUAUUGGUUCUGUUUCUCUGGAGAGCCUUUAAUACAGUCAGCCUUGUGUUUAGACUGAGGUUUGUAAGUUAAACUUAUGAAAGGAAAUGAGAAAGUCGAAGUGGAUCCCGGUUCACCAGCCAGGUGCCGCCUUCCUUCAGGGUCAGUCUUCCUUUGGGGCCUCAGUAUCCAUCGCUGCCUGGGACCAGCUAAUCCAUCCAGGAGAUUCCCAUAAGCACCACCCCAAAAGGGGAGAGUUAAGUUCUCAGCUCCUCUCGUGCCCUUUGGCCUCUUGGCAGCUCUGUUCUCUCCGCAAGCCUGGAACAGCUUGCUUGUGGUGCAUACAGCAAGUGGGUGCCAGGUUACAAACUAAAAAGUUCUGUUUCGCAGUGUUAUGGUUGUUCCCCUGUGAGGAGCUGGCUGGGUCUGUUUCAUCCGACCUGACCGAGGAGCUCCUGCUCCUAUGUAAGCUGUUUCCUUCCUGACGAGACCCACAGCCCUUCCGUUUUUCAGGUGGUGACAGCAGUGUUCUUGAGGGUUCUUUACGGAGCCACAGGGGCUGGGCUGCCAGGGGCUGUGUCUGCUGGGCGUCUAGGGAAGAUGUUUGUUCCAUACCUUGUAAGGCCUGAUUACUGCUUCAGUGAGAAAAGGGUCCCAAAGAAAAGGCACUUCUUAUUGGUGGUUCUCCCCGAACUGAAAUAAUUAUCUUUCAUCCUGCUAACUUUAUCCUGCUGUGACCGGUUUGGUUCGGGGAAUUAUUUUUGCUUUUGAAGGCAAAUGUUCUUUCCUCUCGCAUCUGCUCACCACCAGCUUUCCAGACAGGCAAUGACAGACCAUCGAGUAAAAUGUUAUAUCCCCUGGAUAAAGCACUUAUGUGUUUCCUCAAGAAAGCCAUGUGCAACAUCCCCCCCUUCCGAGCAAGUGUCUGUGUGAAUCUGACUUCUCUCUGGGGUUAACUGAGCCAAAAAUAAAUCACUCCCUUGGCUGCAAGGAGAGGCUGACCUGCCAUUCUGCAAGAUUACAAUCCGUAAUCAGCCUACCGAUCCCUUCUGCUGAUUGAAGCCAGAAGACUGGGCUGUAUUAAAAGAUAGCUGAGGAAAUGACACAGAAUAGCACAUUUUCACCUCUUUUCCAGAGCACAGAGAGUUGCUCCCAGAUGCUGUUUCUGCAGUCCAACUUCUGACUCGCAAACCGUUCAAGAAGGAGGCUGUGGAUGGCAAAGAGCCCGCGUGACCUAACCUUCAUGUUGUAACACGCACACAUGCAGAUGGUGGAAACCAGGAGACAUUGGGAGGAAGGGGCUCAGGCUCAGCCUGUGGCUAAACCCCUACAGUUCACAGGUCAAAACAUCAAGAUGCCCCUCACACCCACUGGGAUGGCUGCUUUCCGAAACAACGAACAAAAGAGCAAGUGUUGGUGAGGAUGUGGAGAAAUUGGAACCUUUGUGCCACGCUGGUGGGAAUGUAAAAUGGUGUAACGUAUAUGGAGAACAAGUAUGGUGGUUCUUCAAAAAGUUAAAAAUAGAGCUACCAUAUGAUCCAGCAAUUCUACUUCUGAGUAUAUGUCCAAAAGAAUUAAAAGCAGAGUCUUGAAGAGAGAUUUGCACACCCAUGUUCACGGCAGCCUUAUUCCCAAUAGCUGAAAUGUGGAAACUACCCAAGUGUCUAUUGAUAGACGAAUGGAGCAGGAAGGAAAUUCUGCAGUAUGCUGCAAUAUGGAAGAACCUUGAGGACAUUAUGCUGAGUGAAAUAUGCCAGUCAAGGAAGGACGAAUUCUGUGAGAUUCCACGGAUAUGAGGCUCUGAGUGGUCAGAAUCACAAAGACGGAGAGUGUAAUGGUGGUGGCCAGAGGCUGAGGGGAGGGUAGAAAUGGACAGUUGUCAUUUAAUGGGUACAGAGUUUCGGUUUUAUAAGGUGAAAAGAGUCCUGGAAAUGGAUGGUGAUGAUGGUAGCACAAUAUUAUGAGUAUAUUUAAAACCACUUAAUGGUACACUUAAAAUGGCUAAAAUGUCAAGUUUUUCUGUGUAUUUUACAAUUACAAAAAAAUUGGAAGAAAAAAAAGACACAAAGGCCCAGAGUAGUCAAGUAACUUGGCCCAGAGUCACACAGCUGGCUACCCCAGGGCUAGGCUUUUGGUUGCCCCCGGAUCUAUGCACCAGCGUUCCCGCCCUCGCCCGCCACGUCCUCCCGCCCAUGCCCGCCACGUCCUCCCGCCCACGCCCGCCACGUCCUCCCGCGCACGCCCGCCCGCCAGGACCUCCCACCCACACCCACCACGUCCUCCCGCCCACGUCCGCCACGUCGCCCCGCCCUCGCCCACCACGACCUCCCGCGCACGCCUGCCGCAACCUCCUGCAAGUUACGGACGCCAAUGAGCUGUGUGUUGGUUAAGCAGCCACGGAGGGUGCAUGUGUUUAAGACAUUGCUGUUCUAGGCUUUGAGGAUGCAACUGUAAAUAAAACCGACUUUACCCUGGGGAAGAUGCGGAGGUGGAGGGCACUAAAUCCAUGUGAAGAGAGAGAGCCAGGAUUCAGAACUAAGGGUGUCCAUCCCCUGACCCUGCCUCUUUCACUGGGAGUAUACCCUGGCUCCCUGGAAAAGAGUGUCUCACAGGCAGAAGCAAGUGCCAUCGCUGCAGCCGUACAAAGAAGCCUCUCCUAAAAACUGCUACCUCGUGGUCCAAGAUUGCUGCCAGAACUCAUCUAUCAUGCCUACAUUAUAGGUAGCAAAACAGCAGAAUGGAGAAAAGAAGGUUGAAGGCUGAGUCAGCAACUGUACAAAAUCCUUACAUCUUCCAUACAACAUUGUUGUUUAUAUCUCAUUGGCCAAAGCACAUGGCUACACUUAUUGACAAGGAAGAGAGGGAAAUAUAUAUUCUAGCUGAGUACCUUGCUACCCUUAUCCAAAUAUCUGGAAUGGAUAUUUGGCAAAUGAUCAGAUGUCUCUGUCACAGCCAUCAAUCAAAUGAGACAAGGUCAGGAUAUCCUAAUCCUCCAGGAUGGGUGUCAAGGAACACCGUGGACAUUGAUGUGCCACCCAGGUCCCCCUUGAUGAAGGACUUGCCUCAGCUGUAUGGAGUGUUAUCAGCAGAGAGCCUUCAUCUGUCAGCACCUCCAGAAGAGCCUCUUCACCCAACGAACCCAGACAGCCUAUACUCAGUGACUGUUGACGCAGGACUAUAAAGGCAUGCCCAUCUUGAUCCAGCUGAUGACAACCAACUUGGGAGUUUGGCAACUCAGGACUAGCUUCAAUUUUUCCCAUGGAGUUGGCCAAGGCUCUUGUUAGACCACAUUGUAGCCUGGACUUUCCCUUUGCCCACUCUGGCUUUCUUCUCUUCCCUUCCACAAUUGGAUGUCAUGGCCACUCUGUAAUAAACAUCCUGUAUGCCAAACUCUAUCUCAGAGUCUGCUUUGCAGACAACCCAGCCCGUGGCAAGGAGGGAAGGUAUAUCUACCUGGAGCCAGGUGUCGGAAACUGUAUCUACUGAGAAUAGAAUGGGCUGAAAAGAUGGAGAAAUGCCCCUGUGUGCACCUUUCCUUUAUUGCAUCUUCUGCCUGCUUCUCAUGGCUGCCAGUAUGCACGUUAUAUAGCAUCCUCUAUAUCCCUUCCACUGUGUAACUAUCCAUUUAGGUUUAGAUAACUAGAUUCUCAAAGUUGCUCAAGUUUUAAGUGUUUGAAUAAGAGCAAAUAUUGGACGAAAGCUGGGUCUUCCCAGACCCAAAGUGCAGGAGUGUCCUCAUGGCAGAACUUCUGCCAUGGCCAGCUAUGGUUAGAGCCCUUUUUUGUUUCUUUCUUGGUUCUUGGGUAGGCCCCAGAUAGGUGAGGUGUGACUUCAAAUGCAGUAAGUUAAGGGAAGGAAAAAAAACCCAACAACAACAACUAUGCGGUGGCAUUUCUUAUGCUAACUCGAGCCAAUUUUCCUUGCCCUUUUUGGUACUUGUGGAAUUUAGUUUAAAAGCAGCCUCUCUUCACAGCCUCCCUUCACAGAAUGCCCUUCCUCUGUCAUUCUAUCCGCAUGUUUCUGAGAGCUUGUCCACAUAAAGGUUCACUCAGGAUGGACAGAGAUCACCUGGGCUCCUUGCUGUGUGUGAGAGGUGCUCAUGACAUAGGGAAGGAAAUGGCCAAGAGAUGCCAGAACUUCACCAGCCAGUUCUCGGGCUUUACCCCACCAUGGUAAUGCCUCCUAGCCAGUGUGCACAAGCGAUCUGCCAACAUUAGACUGCACCAAAAACUUAGUAGUUAGAAAUGUUUUUGUUUUCAUUUCCAUGACUCAGAGUAACCAUUAUGCAUAUAGUACCUAUGAAUGUACCCAGUUCUGAGAAAAAAAGAGAGAGAGAAAUUUAUGGCAAGAAAAGGGAACUUUGCCAUCCAUUUUUAGGGGAGUUUUACUUCUAGGUUAGUAAGCUGCAGAUGUUAACGACACGAGUCUGCAUGCUGUGUGAUUUUUGAAGCUUCCCUAUUCACAGAUCUUUCUGGCUUUUCCUGUUUGUCUCUGUCAACAAUUGACACUGCAGUCUUUUUUCAUCUAGGGCUUAAAAAAUUGAAUUUGUGAUAGCACCUUCAGUCACAAAAGCACUUUUCAGGGCCGGGGGUUGAGCAGUCCAUACCAAUUUUUUCUCAGUUUACGUUUGUGAAAAGUGCAAGGAAAAGAUCAUUUCCAUUUGAAAAACAUUAACUGAACUCACAGAAAUGUGUAAAUACAUUUAUAUAAAGACUUUUACCCGGGGCUCAUGGGUGGCUCAGUCAGUUAAGCGUCUGACUUCAGCUCAGGUCAUGAUGACAUGGUUCAUGGGUUCGAGCCCGCAUUGGGCUCUAUGCUAACAGCUGCUUCGGAUUCUGUAUCUUCCUGUCUCUCUGCCUCUCCCCCACUUGCGCUCUG